rnacentral:rRNA from 1 species
UACAGAGGCCUCAAGCGUUAGGCGGAAUCACUGGGCUUAAAGCGUGUGUAGGCGGGUCGUUAAGUGCCUUGUGAAAUCCCCUGGCUCAACCAGGGAACUGCUUGGCAUACUGGCGAUCUUGAGCCACCUAGGGGCAACUGGAACAGACGGUGGAGCGGUGAAAUGCGUAGAGAUCAGGGGGAACACCCGUGGCGAAGGCGGCCGGCUGGGCCGACCCUGACGCUGAGGCGCGAAGGCGUGGGGAGCGAACGGG